CCUACGGGAGGCAGCAGUGGGGAAUAUUGCACAAUGGGGGAAACCCUGAUGCAGCGACGCCGCGUGAGUGAAGAAGUAUCUCGGUACGUAAAGCUCUAUCAGCAGGGAAGAAAAGGACGGUACCUGACUAAGAAGCCCCGGCCAACUACGUGCCAGCAGCCGCGGUAAUACGUAGGAGGCAAGCGUUAGCCGGAUUGACUGGGUGUAAAGGGAGCGUAGACGGCAGCACAAGUCUGGAGUGAAAUCCCGGGGCUUAACCCCGGAACUGCUUUGGAAACUGUGAGGCUGGAGUGCAGGAGGGGUAAGCGGAAUUCCUAGUGUAGCGGUGAAAUGCGUAGAUAUUAGGAGGAACACCGGUGGCGAAGGCGGCUUACUGGACUGUAACUGACGUUGAGGCUCGAAAGCGUGGGGAGCAAACAGGAUUAGAUACCCGAGUAGUC
rnacentral:rRNA from 1 species